AGUAAAAAUAUUAAGAAAAAAACCCACUUAACAGUAAUAAGCAAAAGCACAGCAGCUCUCCAGCUCAGAUGGGCAUGGCCUUUUGUAGGUGGGUUGUAUCUCAUGGGCUGCUCUCUGAGUCCCCACCUUGGUCGAUGCAGGGAGAAGAAUGGCGACCGGCCCCUCAGGCCCCCCUCAGACCUUGUGUUGCCAGCCACUUUUUUGAGUCCAACCUUCUUGUGCCUCAGACAGAUCUAAUUGUUUCUGUUUUUUAAGUUCUGCCCGGUUUCUAAGUCCUUGCCCAUGCACUCAAUAUUGCCACCACAGUUAAUAUCUCCUGUAAGAGUGUGGCUUUGUGGUCUGGAUCGAAUAGGGAGAUUGUGAAGUCAGAGUUCUCCCCUGGCUCCGCCUGAUGUCUGUGAGCUGCUGGGCCCCAGGAAGAACACCCCCGCUGAAGGGACGGAUAUCUCUCUCAGCGCUCAGUGGCCCUCAGUCCUAGGCUAAAUCUCUCCUCUGCAGGGAUUUCCCUGUGAGUGAUUCAGUCUCUAUUUCUCUUCCCCUGGUCUCUCCUGCCUUGCCCGGCGGUGCUGUGAGUGGCUGUGUAGGUCCGUGCGCCUCUGGAUACCCGGCCGCCUUGUGUCAGUGACUGUCUGAAGAACUGUCCGCCUCUGGUCUCAAGGCCACCAUGCCCAUGUGGCUGUCCUCGGAGCUGAUCCUCGAGCCCACGUGUUGUUCAGCGAACUCCUGCCUCUGCUGCACCUAAGGUCAAUUGUCAGAGCUUUGGAACAGCCCCAAGGAAAACCCUCAACAGGACUUCCGGAAAUCCACAGACUAUGCCUGUGGGAUGUUGUCCUGGCCAGGGUCUCGCCAAUCGAUGACCAUGUGAGGGUAAAUUGGCUGAACUUUGGCACAGCACCGAGGCAAACUUUCGAUGGGACAUCCUGAACUCCACAGACUACACCUGCGGGACAUUGUCCUGGCCAGGGUCUCGCCUAUUGCCUACCAUGUGAUGUUUGGAGGCCUAUGUCCGUGCUGGCCCUGGCCACCAUGCCCACCCAUUCUUGUCAAAGCUGAGGUCCAGGACCUA